rnacentral:tRNA from 1 species
GCCGGUGUAACUCAGUCGGUAGAGUAGCUGAUUCGUAAUCAGCAAGUCAGGAGUUCAAAUCUCCUCUCCGGCUCCA